rnacentral:rRNA from 1 species
UCGAGGGGCAUCGGGGCGAGGAGCAAUCCUUGCCGCCGGCGACCGGCGCACGGGUGAGUAACGCGUAUGCGACCUGCCCGUUGCAGGGGGAUAAUCGGGAGAAAUCCCGUCUAAUACCGCGUAACGCCGCGGGGCUGCAUGGCCCUGCGGCCAAAGGAAGCGAUUCCUGCAACGGAUGGGCAUGCGUGACAUUAGCUAGUUGGCGGGGCAACGGCCCACCAAGGCGACGAUGUCUAGGGGUUCUGAGAGGAAGGUCCCCCACACUGGUACUGAGACACGGACCAGACUCCUACGGGAGGCAGCAGUGAGGAAUAUUGGUCAAUGGGCGCGAGCCUGAACCAGCCAAGUCGCGUGAGGGAUGACGGCCCUACGGGUUGUAAACCUCUUUUGUCGGGGAGCAAAUUCCGCCACGUGUGGCGGAGUCGAGAGUACCCGAAGAAAAAGCAUCGGCUAACUCCGUGCCAGCAGCCGCGGUAAUACGGAGGAUGCGAGCGUUAUCCGGAUUUAUUGGGUUUAAAGGGUGCGUAGGCGGACUGUCAAGUCAGCGGUAAAAUACGGGGGCUCAACCUCCGCCCGCCGUUGAAACUGACGGUCUUGAGUGGGCGAGAAGUAUGCGGAAUGCGUGGUGUAGCGGUGAAAUGCAUAGAUAUCACGCAGAACUCCGAUUGCGAAGGCAGCAUACCGGCGCCCAACUGACGCUGAAGCACGAAAGCGUGGGUAUCGAACAGGAUUAGAUACCCUGGUAGUCCACGCAGUAAACGAUGAAUACUAGCUAUCCGGGGC